ensembl:lncRNA
AUUUGAAAGAGCUGCUAACAGCAUCAGCAUGCACUUGACCUAUGUUCCUCAUUUGCAAAGAUCAAAAUGAUAACCGGGACAUAAUAGUAGAUCCUGGCUCAGGAGGGCUCUGCUGGGACACGUAAAGGCACAGGCGAGGCUGUGGGUGCCGCCUGUCUCACCUUGGUGUUAAUACGAGUGUGGAAAGAGGGCUGGACAACCAAAAGUGUGGAAUCCUGGGAAAAGCAGAGGUGUUCCUUUAGAUCACAACAUCCCACAACAGAGCAGAAACAAAGAUAAGUUAUCUUAUCACUGUGGGACACUGCGUGCAUGUGUCCAUUGGUGCUGGUUGUGCUAUUGUCACACAUUGAGACAACAUCAGAAGUGUGCCUACGGUCUCUUUAAACCACAGAAGCCCACUACACUUGAAGCUGAAGAGCUUACCCACAACGGCUGAAUGAUAUAGAGAUCAUACAAUUAUGAAGCAGCCAUAAAGGAGACAAUACAGAUCAUCGACCUGAAUGCUGCGCUGCAAUUGGCCCUGACGUCUGUCCAUAGGGGGUCUCCGCUGCUGAUUGGCCAUGACCGGUUUUGUAGAGGGGCUUCUAAUCCUCUCCACACUCUCUGUGGGUGCUCUCGGGGGCUUUUCCCACAUAAAUCAGUCUGGCCUGGGUGGUAAAGUCAUCACGUCCACUGUGUCCACAAACACUGCCUGUUAGCACCCCUAUCACAAGGAGCGUGCUAGCUCUGAAAGGCCACCGCCAUUGAAAGAAAGCCAAUGGCUGACCACGCCACACUAUGCGUAUAGGCUCUUAUUGGGAAGCCCACUUUAGCACGUUAUCCAACCCAGUCUCACAGAAAAACGUGUAAUAGCUACGUUGUGGAACGUGGUGUUGUCACGCUUUUGGGGAGAAAGCGUGACAUACAACGUUUCGUUUGUAACUAGGUCACGUGACUAUCAACUUUCCCUCAGCUCAAAAAAAAGAAAAUGGCGGACUGUCGGUCUACUAUCUGUGAAAAACACAAUAUUUUAAGAAAGCAUCAGCAUUUGUGUGCAUUUCGAUGGCAUUUCUAGCGAGAAGUAUGCGUUAUAUUUUUAUAAUCAGAGAAUGUAGAAGACCUUCCGUUUAUUAGUUUGUAGUGAGGUAGUUGCAAGGCUAUUGUAAAUGAACGGGCCAAAAUAAAACAUAGUAUUGUCACGAUUUGGGGGAGAAAGCGUGAGAAUACCACGUUGGUCCAACGUAGCUAUUACACGUUUUGCUGUGAGACUGGGUUGCGUUAUCAUAAAAAAAAAAACAUUGCCCCUGUUGUAAAGCUACCAUGAGCCUUUCAUGUCAACAUUAUCACAUGAGAGGCCUUCAAGCAGCACGCCACUUUGAGGAAAAUGUCACAUGAGCCUUACAAGCUUUUCCUAUGUAAUCUUAAUUAAUGCCCCAUUCAUAUUCUUGACUACUCACAAUAGCACGGGCACAGUUUAAAACCUCUGUUUCAUUAUUUAAUUCAUUUAAAAUUACUUGGUUACGUUAUAUCAACAAAACUACUUGAUAAGUUUAGGAAAUGAUCACGUUAUUAUGGUUACCUCUCAAGCCCUGUGUAGUUUUAAAGUGUGAAGAUUGACCAAGUGUCUAUGACGUGAGGCACUGGUAACACCCAUUUUUUGGUUCGGGUUAUACGACCUGACCAAUGGCCUUCCCUGGACCUAACCACUCAAGGUCAACGCCCGACCUCAAACAGCCACGCAGCUACAAGACUGCUCACGAGUAUGCAGACUUCUAUAUUUUAUUACAGAGGUAGUAUUUUAUGUGCGUCACACUGACCCCUGCAGUGUAUGGACAGACGUCCCUGCUGUGUGAGUGAAAAGCAGGGCCGGGUCAAGAAGGACACUGAUAGGAAGAGUCGUCUGUACCAUUUUGCCUCUCACCCAUGGGUGGUCUUCCCUUAAACGGCUUUGGUCGGCUUUCCCUCUUGACACUGCAAACGUAUAGUAUCAUUCACAUGCAGUUCUAGAUAAAAGCCCUUUUGUUGGGUAUGUGCUUCACAAUGGUGCUUGUUAUCCCAAGGUAUCGCAUGCUCAAUGGAAGGAAUUACAGAGUACUUUGUACAGCUGGGUAUACAAAAGCAGAAAGAUGGUGCUAAAAAGGAAAGUUCUAAAAUAAAUGUUUACACUAAGAUGUCCUGAUUACCACGUUCUUACGAUCACUUUGGUGUAAUUUUAACUACAGACACAUCGUACAACCACACACACACAUGUGGCAGCACACUGCAGAUAUUUUGCAAAAUAAAACACUUCAUUCAAAACUUUUCAAAAAUUGAUGGAAACCCAUUUUUGUCACUUUAUUGCACGCACAGGGUUUAUUUGGUCAAACUCUCUUUAAACCAGUUCCACAUUCCUGUGCUCAGUCUAAAACACGUUAACCAUUUAUAACUCACUAAUUAUACAGUCUAGGUUUUAUUCUACGACAAUAUUGUGAGUGUGUAGUACACACAAACCAGGCAAGCACCCAGAAGUCCAAAAGUCCAUUUUUCACUGAAAUUCGCAACAAUGUCUCUUGUCAAAACAAUAUAGUACAUAAGAAGUAAAAAUAUUAAUGGAGACAAAAAGAAAGAACGAUUAUGGUUCAAAUAAAUUGCUAACACUGCUUGGUUGGCUCCCACCUGUGGUCUUUUUACAGUGUUUACAUCCUGAUUCAGUAGGGUUCUGCUUUAUGUUUCCUUUUAGUGGGUUGGCUAUAAGCUAUAAGCAAUGCUCACAACUGUUCAAAGAGAGACACAGAGUUAUAAAUCCUGAGCUGUCGGAUCCACGUUUGCUUGAGAUUCCCACCUCGGAGUCCUGCGCAAGAACUUUGUCGCCAAGGCUUCCACUCUCACACUUUCCCUCUAGAACAAACAAACAAGGACUAAUUUCCUCUGUUUGUGUGUAUGUGUGCGUGUGACUGGGACGAGGGGGGGUAGGGGGAGAGCGAUAACGAGAAGGGAAGAUGAUUAGGAAUUCCUUAAAAUUUCAAUUUACAGACAACUGCACGAUAAAUGUCGCACAAAGGAACCAGAGGCCGUCCUUCUACUGAUCUUCGCAGGAGACGUAGUCCACUGUUCCUUUAUUUCUGAAACAAUCAAGGAAAGGUCAUGUAUCCAGAGGGAAGGGCUGGAGCAGCCACCUCCACUAAUGAGAUCAGAGAGAAAGAAGAAAAAACAGCAAUUUUCCCAAUGGCUCUUCAUUUUCCAGGGAGUCAAGCGGCACAGAUUGUAAUCCUUUCGAACAAAGCUUUUCAGCUUUUGUGGAGAACACUGGAACUCGAUCUUUCAACAUCGCUCUUUCAAGGUUUUGAUGCAGCAAAUUUAGGGUUUGAGAUUUCAUUACUGAGAGAAUUAAGCGCAGAUGAAAUACCUGGACAUUAAAAUGAUCAUCAAAAUAAUUACAUUUCUUGAUGUAUUUUUUUGGGGUUGCUGUUUCUUCGCAUGCUCUGUGAAAAUUAUUACGCAAUCAUGAUUAAUACAUUCUUUGGCAGUUUUAUUACAACACUGAGACUGGUAACAGACUCAACUUGUGAUCGUUUUGUUGUGAAAACCAUGUACAAGUCAACUGGUUUUUCAUGAAAUGAUGAAGGUCUUCAGGUUUACAAGACGUAACGUAAUUUGCAUUUGUAGACUUUCGAUAGACUGUCAUUCCCAGAGCACACUGAAAAAUCUUCUUUUGGGACCUUUUCCAACUGGAAGCCAAAAUACCGGCAACGCAUGCCAGAAUAAGCCGCCAGUGCACAUCUCCAGAGGGUGAAAGAGUUAUUUCACAACCAGAUGAAAACACAGAAUACAGCUUAUUGCACCAACUUGCAAUAUACAUAAACCAUAGUAAAUCUUUCUCCUUGCCUCUAUAGUUUUCACUUUCGUCAGGAGGCGCAGUCGGAAAAGCAGGCAUAAUCUUGAAUACGAGCAUGCAUUCAGAUUGCAUAGUUGACUGAGUUGCAAUAUAAUCCCAAGUCUGAAGAACACAGGACAAAAAC